CAGCAGCCACGGUAAUACAGAGGGUGCAAGCGUUAAUCGGAAUUAUUGGGCGUAAAGGGUGCGUAGGUGGUCAUUUAAGUCAGAUGUGAAAUCCCAGGGCUUAACCUUGGAAUUGCAUUUGAUACUGGGUGGCUAGAGUACAGAAGAGGGAAGUGGAAUUUCCGGUGUAGCGGUGAAAUGCGUAGAUAUCGGAAGGAACAUCAGUGGCGAAGGCGACUUCCUGGUCUGUAACUGACACUGAGGCACGAAAGCGUGGGGAGCAAACAGGAUUAGAUACCCCCGUAGUCCCUGUCUCUUAUAC
rnacentral:rRNA from 1 species